AUACGUAUAUACGGUAUGUACAAUUUCAUACCGUAGCCGAGCUAAAAAGUUGUGGGCCGAAUAGUAGGCCCGAAUAGUAAGCCCAAAUUUGGUUGGGCCUAUUCAAAAUGCGUUUGGUUCGGCCGAUUGGUAGGCCCAAAUAGUAAGCCCAAUUGUUCGGCCGAUUUGUAGGCCCAAAUAGUAAGCCCAAUUGUUCGGCCGAUUGGUAGGCACAAAUAGUAAGCCCAAUUGUUCGGCCCGAAUGGUAGGCCCAAAUGUUAAGCCCAAUUGUUCGGCCCAAAUGGUAGGCCCAAAUGUUAAACCCAAAUUGGUUCGGGCCGGUUCGAAAUGUGGAUGGUUCGGUUUCUUCGGCCCAAUUGGCCAGCCCUAAUGCUUAGCCCAAGGAUUGAGCAAGCCCAAGUCAUCAUCACUGGGUGUCAGAUUUUAUUGGCAUGCUUUUGGGGAUGAUUUGUUUUGAGUGAUGCAUCUCUAUUGUUGUGUAGAAUAGUGCAUGCUUAAGUUUUACUAUAGAGAUUUACCGUGAUGCUAAUUGAGUAGCGAAACGCUUUGUGAGAAUGUUUACUGUGCUUGUAUGCCAGUACAGGAUGAUGAUCUAUGUGAAGAUCUAUGUGAUGAUCUAUGAGAUGAUCUAUGUGAAGAUCUAUGUGAGGAUCCAUGUGGUGAUUUUGUGUGAGUUUACUUUUGUGAUGAAAGAAUUUGUGGCCUUAGGAAUGUAUUUUUAUACAAAGGGCUGUGGCUUUGUAGAUUACUACAGCUUUGGAAAGGAUGGAGAUUCGAUGGUUAGGUUAACCGUAAUCGAGAGCAAUUAACUUGCGCUUAAAUUUCGGGACGAAAUUUCUUUAAGGAGGGUGGAUUGUAAUACCCGAAAAAUUCAAGUUAAUUUCCGAUGACGUUUUGGAAAUGAUUUCGUGGUCGUGGACACGAGUACGAAGCUUAGAGGAGUGUGGAAUUAGUUCGAACGAUUUUAUUUUGAAAACUGAACGUUUUAGGGGGGUCAAAGGAGUUGACUUUUUAUACAUUGGGAAAUUGGGAAAACUUCCUUCAUGAAAGUUGUAGAGCGCGUCGAUACGAGUUCGUGGACAUAUGGAACGUAAUAUUCGGAGUUCGUAUGAAUAAGUUACGAAUAUUUGAAAAUUGGGAUUUUCUAUAAAUAUGAAAAAAAAAUCCGAAUAUUGCAAAUGAGGACAGAAUUUCUGGAACUCCAGAAAUUUCUCCCCAUUUCUCUCCCGAGCCCAGCCGCGACCCCCUCCCUUCGUCACCUUCGUUCUUCCUCAUCCGGCCACCGAUUGAUGUGAAACAAAGUGGGUUUUUCUGGUCUCGACCCCCUUUACGAGUUUGUAGAAGAAAUCGAAGUGAAAUACGAGCUGUAUGAGGCUCUACAAGGUCGAGAAGAGAGCCUCGUCGGAGACGAAAUCGCUCUUCCCCACUUUUUCUGGGCUCUACUUUGUCUGGCCAUAUCUUCCUCUACAGGCCUCCGAUCGACCUGAUUCCAAAAGCAAUUUUUCUCACCGUGAAGUUUUCUACAACUUUCCAGAAGACAUCGACUUGAGAUAACCAUCGUGGUGGCCGCUAGAAGACCGAGAAGCCGCACAGCCGAGCUGGAAAUCGUCUUCCUUCGCCACCUUGGUUCUCCCAGCUCCGGCCACUAUAGCUCGAGUUCUUUGAGGGCUUUUCUAGCCCAGAGGAAGUAGAAGCUAUCCCCAAGAAGGCUUGCAGCGAUUUAAUCCGGGGUGAUCGAAUUUUGAAGAUUGGGAAACUAGGGUUCUUCGGGUUUCAAAACUUGCGAGGUGAUUGACGGUCUCCCUUGGGUGAACGAUUUCGGUGUGUAUUGUGUUGAAUUGAAGACGCAGCGGGAAUAUCGAGCGGGUAAUCCUGCAGGUCAGGAGAAUCAGGACGGUGAUCGUGCGGGUUAGAGAAUUUGUUUUAGUUUUACAGCAAUUGUAAUUGUGAGGUGAGUUAUGCUCAUUUGAGCCUUACAAUAUAAUUUGGUGAGAGUGUGCUGUAAUAAACAAAUUUGAGAUUUGGUUUAUGUAAUAUCGAGCGAUGUGAGGUGUGGUUGUUUUGAGAAAAAAAAAUUCAGGUUGUAUUUAUGUGAGUUGUAUUAAUUCAUGUUUCGGAUUUUGAUUUGUAUUUAAAAUUCGGGGCGUGACAUCUUUCUCUAUGAAGGUAUGGUCUGCAGUUUUAUCUUGGUUUAAAGUCAGUAUUCAUUUCCUGGAUAUAUAUGAUUUCUUCUCUUACCCACUGCAACAUGGUUUUGGUACUCAAUUGCAAUUGCUAUGGUGGGGAAUGAUGGGAGCUGGCUUCUACUCUCUUUGGGAGGCUAGAAAUUCUAUCCGUUUUGAUGAGCGUCGCUUAACUACUGAUUAUUUGAUUCGCUCUAUCAAGCAGCAAAUUCGAGAGGUUGAUUCUUGGGGUUUAGGAAUUAUGCGUAACUCAGUAGAUGAGCUUUGUAUUUUCAGUGCUCUUAGAAUCAGCGGUAGAGCCUCAAGAUCACAUCAAAUUCGUGAGGUAAAUUGGCAUGCUCCUUGUGCUUUUCAAUUAAAGGUUAAUACAGAUGGUGCUGCUCGUGGGACGCCUGGACUCGCGGGCUAUGGAGGUAUUUUUCGUGAUCACUUGGGUAAUUGUAUGGGUUGUUUUGCUGGUUCCUUGGGUAUUGCUACUGCCCUAGAAGCAGAGCUUCAAGCCAUUAUUCAUGCAGUUUCAAUAGCAUCAGGAAAAGGAUGGACUUCUCUCUGGAUUGAGUGUGAUUCAGCGGUAGCAAUUCACUUUCUUGCCAAUAAAAAUUACUCAGUCCCUUGGCGUCUAAGUGUUGAUUGGGUCAAUUGUUGUACCAUUCUCUCCUCUAUGCAGAUUCAGUUUUCACAUA